CAAGAGCGAGCAUGUGCAGAGGUGAGUGAAUUCAGAAUUGAAUGAGUUUAAUCAAUGAAAACCCAACAAGCCAGCCAGCCAGCCAACUAUCCAGCCAACCUGUAUAUGUUAAUGGGUGGUGAUGGGGCCUCCACGUUGAGGAUUUCUGGCUUAUUCCGUCCAUGGUGUCGGCUGUAGGCGGAGAAGAAAGAACAGUACUGCAAGGUAUGUAAAUAAUGGAGCAUUGUACAAUAGAC
rnacentral:lncRNA from 1 species